rnacentral:rRNA from 1 species
UCAAUAAGCGGAGGAAAAGAAACCAACAGGGAUUGCCCCAGUAACGGCGAGUGAAGCGGCAACAGCUCAAAUUUGAAAUCUGGCGCAAGCCCGAGUUGUAAUUUGCAGAGGAUGCUUUUGGUGCGGUGCCUUCUGAGUUCCCUGGAACGGGACGCCGGAGAGGGUGAGAGCCCCGUACAGUUGGACACCAAGCCUUUGUAAAGCUCCUUCGACGAGUCGAGUAGUUUGGGAAUGCUGCUCAAAAUGGGAGGUAAAUGCCUUCUAAAGCUAAAUACCGGCCAGAGACCGAUAGCGCACAAGUAGAGUGAUCGAAAGAUGAAAAGCACUUUGAAAAGAGGGUUAAAAAGUACGUGAAAUUGUUGAAAGGGAAGGGCUCGUGACCAGACUUGCGCCCGUCGGAUCAUCCGGCCUUCUGGCCGGUGCACUCCGGCGGGCUCAGGCCAGCAUCGGUUCUUCUGGGGGGACAAAAACGGCGGGAACGUAGCUCCUCCGGGAGUGUUAUAGCCCGCCGCAGAAUACCCCCGGGGGGACCGAGGACCGCGCUUCGGCAAGGAUGCUGGCGUAAUGGUCACCAGCCACCCGUCUUGAAACACGGACCAAGGAGUCAAGCAUUAGGGCGAGUGUUUGGGUGUCAAACCCGCACGCGAAAUGAAAGUGAACGCAGGUGAGAGCUUCGGCGCAUCAUCGACCGAUCCUGAUGUUUUCGGAUGGAUUUGAGUAAGAGCCUUACCGCUUGGACCCGAAAGAUGGUGAACUAUGCUUGGAUAGGGUGAAGCCAGAGGAAACUCUGGUGGAGGCUCGCAGCGGUUCUGACGUGCAAAUCGAUCGUCAAAUCUGAGCAUGGGGGGCGAAAGACUAAUCGAACCAUCUAGUAGCUGGUUACCGCCGAAGUUCCCC